rnacentral:tRNA from 1 species
CCUUCGAUAGCUCAGUUGGUAGAGCGGGGGACUGUAGAUCCCUAGGUCACUGGUUCAAAUCCGGCUCGAAGGA